rnacentral:rRNA from 3 species
GAAGUUAGCGGCGGACGGGUGAGUAACACGUGGGUAACCUGCCCAUAAGACUGGGAUAACUCCGGGAAACCGGGGCUAAUACCGGAUAACAUUUUGAACCGCAUGGUUCGAAAUUGAAAGGCGGCUUCGGCUGUCACUUAUGGAUGGACCCGCGUCGCAUUAGCUAGUUGGUGAGGUAACGGCUCACCAAGGCAACGAUGCGUAGCCGACCUGAGAGGGUGAUCGGCCACACUGGGACUGAGACACGGCCCAGACUCCUACGGGAGGCAGCAGUAGGGAAUCUUCCGCAAUGGACGAAAGUCUGACGGAGCAACGCCGCGUGAGUGAUGAAGGCUUUCGGGUCGUAAAACUCUGUUGUUAGGGAAGAACAAGUGCUAGUUGAAUAAGCUGGCACCUUGACGGUACCUAACCAGAAAGCCACGGCUAACUACGUGCCAGCAGCCGCGGUAAUACGUAGGUGGCAAGCGUUAUCCGGAAUUAUUGGGCGUAAAGCGCGCGCAGGUGGUUUCUUAAGUCUGAUGUGAAAGCCCACGGCUCAACCGUGGAGGGUCAUUGGAAACUGGGAGACUUGAGUGCAGAAGAGGAAAGUGGAAUUCCAUGUGUAGCGGUGAAAUGCGUAGAGAUAUGGAGGAACACCAGUGGCGAA